UAUUUGGUAUAUUACUCAAUGUGGGCUUUGCUCAAGAAAUAGACACUCGAUCAUACCCAUAUACAAUACUUCAUUUUCUAUCAACUGUGCGCUAAUAAUGCUAUACACAGAAAGCAUGUCUUUUCUCUAAAGGUACCAACUUAUUGUUGAUGAAUUGGGAGCAUUCUUUGUAGUUUUGGGGGUCAUAAAAUAUGAAAAGAUUGUAUGAGCUUAAAAUGUCUUUAUCUC
rnacentral:lncRNA from 1 species